rnacentral:rRNA from 1 species
UUUGAUGAUUGGCGAUAGAUCAUUCAAGUUUCUGACCUAUCAGCUUUCGACGGUAGUGUAUUGGACUACCGUGGCAGUGACGGGUAACGGGGAAUUAGGGUUCGAUUCCGGAGAGGGAGCCUGAGAAACGGCUACCACAUCUAAGGAAGGCAGCAGGCGCGCAAAUUACCCAAUCCUGACUCAGGGAGGUAGUGACAAGAAAUAACAACACUGGAAAUUUGAUUUCUAGUGAUUGGAAUGAUGGGAAUCCAAACCCCUUUCAGAGUAACAAUUGGAGGGCAAGUCUGGUGCCAGCAGCCGCGGUAAUUCCAGCUCCAAUAGCGUAUAUUAAAGUUGUUGCAGUUAAAAAGCUCGUAGUUGGAUGUCUGUUGGAAGCAAUCAUCAGUCCGCCCUAUUUGAUUAGGGUGUGAAUAUGAUGAAUUCCGGCAUAAUUGUCUCCCUAUUGUUAAUAUUCUGAUUGUUAGAUUCAUUUCUAACAAUAAUACGAUUAUUAAUAAUAAGGGGGAAAUGUUACUUUGAGAAAAUUAGAGUGUUUGAAGCAGGCUUUUGUUGCCUUGAAUACUGCAGCAUGGAAUAACAAUAUAGGAUUUCGGUUCUAUUUUGUUGGUUCUUUUUUUAGGACUGAAAUAAUGAUUAAUAGGGACAGUUGGGGGCAUUCGUAUUUAACUGUCAGAGGUGAAAUUCUUAGAUUUGUUAAAGACGAACUACUGCGAAAGCAUUUGCCAAAGAUGUUUUCAUUAAUCAAGAACGAAAGUUAGGGGCUCGAAGACGAUCAGAUACCGUCGUAGUCUUAACCAUAAACUAUGCCGACUAGAGAUAGGAAAUUGUCAUU